AGGACGAACGCUGGCGGCGUGCUUAACACAUGCAAGUCGAGCGAGGCCCUUCCUUCGGGAAGGAGCCCUAGCGGCGAACGGGUGAGUAACACGUGGGCAACCUGCCCCUAGCACUGGGAUAACUCCGGGAAACCGGGGCUAAUACCAGAUAUGACCUUCUUGGGCAUCCUCGAAGGUGUAAAGGAUUCUGGCUAGGGAUGGGCCCGCGGCCUAUCAGCUUGUUGGUGGGGUAAUGGCCUACCAAGGCGACGACGGGUAGCCGGCCUGAGAGGGUGACCGGCCACACUGGGACUGAGACACGGCCCAGACUCCUACGGGAGGCAGCAGUGGGGAAUCUUGCACAAUGGGCGAAAGCCUGAUGCAGCGACGCCGCGUGAGGGAUGAAUGCCUUCGGGUUGUAAACCUCUUUCAGCAGGGACGAAGCGAAAGUGACGGUACUGCAGAGAAGCACUGGCCAACUACGCGACCAGCACGCCGAC
rnacentral:rRNA from 1 species